rnacentral:tRNA from 1 species
GUUUUAAUAAUCCAAUAUAGUCAGGAUCUGGAAAUGGAAAUUCAUAAUCUACAUAAUGAUAUGUCCAAUACC